rnacentral:rRNA from 1 species
GAACGCUGGCGGCGUGCCUAAUACAUGCAAGUCGAGCGAACGGACGAGAGGCUUGCUUCUCUGAUGUUAGCGGCGGACGGGUGAGUAACACGUGGAUAACCUACCUAUAAGACUGGGAUAACUUCGGGAAACCGGAGCUAAUACCGGAUAAUAUUUUGAACCGCAUGGUUCAAAAGUGAAAGACGGUCUUGCUGUCACUUAUAGAUGGAUCCGCGCUGCAUUAGCUAGUUGGUAAGGUAACGGCUUACCAAGGCAACGAUGCAUAGCCGACCUGAGAGGGUGAUCGGCCACACUGGAACUGAGACACGGUCCAGACUCCUACGGGAGGCAGCAGUAGGGAAUCUUCCGCAAUGGGCGAAAGCCUGACGGAGCAACGCCGCGUGAGUGAUGAAGGUCUUCGGAUCGUAAAACUCUGUUAUUAGGGAAGAACAUAUGUGUAAGUAACUGUGCACAUCUUGACGGUACCUAAUCAGAAAGCCACGGCUAACUACGUG